rnacentral:rRNA from 1 species
AUGAACGCUGGCCGCGUGCUUAACCCAUGCCAGUCGAACGAAGCACUUAAGAUUGAUUCUUCGGAUGACGUCUUUUGUGACUUAGUGGCGGUCGGGUGAGUAACGCGUGGGUAACCUGCCUCACACAGGGGGAUAACAGUUAGACAUGACUGCUAAUACCGCAUAACCCGAUAGGAUCGCAUGAUCCAGACGGAAAAGAUUUAUCGGUGUGAGAUGGACCCGCGGCGGAUUAGCUAGUUGGUGGGGUAACGGCCCACCAAGGCGACGAUCAGUAGCCGGCCUGAGAGGGUGAACAGCCACAUUGGGACUGAGACACGGCCCAGACUCCUGCGGGAGGCAGCAGUGGGGAAUAUUGCACAAUGGGGGAAACGCUGAUGCAGCGACGCCGCGUGAGUGAAGAAGUAUUUCGGUAUGUAAAGCUCUAUCAGCAGGGAAGAAAAUGACGGUACCUGACUAAGAAGCCCCGGCUAACUACGUG